rnacentral:rRNA from 1 species
GACGAACGCUGGCGGCGUGCCUAAUACAUGCAAGUCGAGCGGACCAAAGAGAGCUUGCUCUUUGAGGUUAGCGGCGGACGGGUGAGUAACACGUGGGCAACCUGCCUGUAAGCUUGGGAUAACUCCGGGAAACCGGUGCUAAUACCGAAUACAACAAAGGACCGCAUGGUCCCAUGUACAAAGACCUUGUGUCACUUACAGAUGGGCCCGCGGCGCAUUAGCUUGUUGGUAGGGUAACGGCCUACCAAGCGACGAUGCGUAGCCGACCUGAGGGGGUGAUCGGCCACACUGGGACUGAGACACGGCCCAGACUCCUACGGGAGGCAGCAGUAGGGAAUCUUCCGCAAUGGACGAAAGUCUGACGGAGCAACGCCGCGUGAGCGAUGAAGGUUUUCGGAUCGUAAAGCUCUGUUGUCAGGGAAGAACCGCCGGGAUGACCUCCCGGUCUGACGGUACCUGACGAGAAAGCCCCGGCUAACUACGUGCCAGCCGCCGCAGUAAAAC